ensembl:lncRNA
AUGUUUAGAAGUUUAAUUACCUUUAACCUAAUCUGCAAGUCUGGAUGUGUAUGUAUUAAAAAUGAAAUACAAAAACAUGUUCUGUGUGAAGGUCUUAUGGCUCCUAAGUCAGACUGUUGUACAAUGGAUUAUUAAUAAUUGAUUAAAACUAUUUGGAUAUAAUAACAAUAAUAAUAAUAAUAACGAUGUAUUGUUUUAAUAGGUGUAUAUUUAUGAAUUUGUCAUAAAAUAUUAAUUUUAGAAUAUAAUUGUUACGAAUGACUCGAGCGGUUGGAGGCUCCGAUUGACAGAGGAAACAGUUGGUCAUGGUUAACAGUGCUUUUUAUUACGGUGCACAGCGACAGUCACUCAAUAGUGGUGGGAAGAAAACAAAACAACAACAAAAAAAAAACCUUAGAUACAACCGAAUAUAAACUGCACCAAACAUAAGGUCAACGCAAUCUAUAUCAAUAAACACAACCUGACCUGUAUGUGCAACUGCCCUACAUAAGCAGCACUUCCCCAGAGACUCUCUCCUCGCCUCCUAUCUCUGAACUAUCCUGCUAACGUUCUGGAGCCAUUUUAUAGGCCCGACUCCUCCUACUCCAGAACAUACCAUAUGAAAGCUAUGAGAAUGGACUCUCCGGUGACAUCACUCACAGGAACAAGAUGGCGGACACAAAGACCUAUAAAUAGACCGGAUGUCUAACUGAACAGGUUUGGCAAAUGACUCUUGGAAAUAACAUGGACAAAUGAACUGUGGUAAGCAUAAUCUGCAUCUCUCUUACACUGUAUUCAAUAAAUAAUUUGAAUCAAAUACUUGUAGUGGUGAUUUAUUUCUAUAUAUGCGAAAAGACAAUUCUAUUAUGCUAUCAUCAUAUGGUUACUAGUUCUCACAUAACUCAGGUAAAACUACAUACAGGACAUCAUACAGCCAAUUUACAACACACAGUGACAUCGAAUGUUACACAGGUCCAUGCCUACAUGAAUCUAUGUCGGCUAACAGACUACAAUACAUGACACAGGUGUAUGUGUGUGUAGUCCAUGCAUAGUCGCAGGCUCACCCUGUGACAAUAAUCAUAUUCUAAAAUAAAUACACAUAUUACAUUAAUCA